CAGUAGCCGCGGGAAUACGAAGGGGGCUAGCGUUGCUCGGAAUGACUGGGCGUAAAGGGCGCGUAGGCGGCUUGCACAGUCAGAUGUGAAAUUCCUGGGCUUAACCUGGGGGCUGCAUUUGAUACGUGUGGGCUAGAGUGUGAAAGAGGGUCGUGGAAUUCCCAGUGUAGAGGUGAAAUUCGUAGAUAUUGGGAAGAACACCGGUGGCGAAGGCGGCGACCUGGUUCAUGACUGACGCUGAGGCGCGAAAGCGUGGGGAGCAAACAGGAUUAGAUACCCCAGUAGUCCCUGUCUCUUAUAC
rnacentral:rRNA from 1 species